rnacentral:rRNA from 1 species
GAUGAACGCUGGCGGCGUGCCUAAUACAUGCAAGUCGAGCGAACAGACGAGGAGCUUGCUCCUCUGACGUUAGCGGCGGACGGGUGAGUAACACGUGGAUAACCUACCUAUAAGACUGGGAUAACUUCGGGAAACCGGAGCUAAUACCGGAUAAUAUAUUGAACCGCAUGGUUCAAUAGUGAAAGACGGUUUUGCUGUCACUUAUAGAUGGAUCCGCGCCGCAUUAGCUAGUUGGUAAGGUAACGGCUUACCAAGGCAACGAUGCGUAGCCGACCUGAGAGGGUGAUCGGCCACACUGGAACUGAGACACGGUCCAGACUCCUACGGGAGGCAGCAGUAGGGAAUCUUCCGCAAAGGGCGAAAGCUUGACGGAGCAACGCCGCGUGAGUGAUGAAGGUCUUCCGAUCGUAAAACUCUGUUAUUAGGGAAGAACAAAUGUGUAAGUAACUAUGCACGUCUUGACGGUACCUAAUCAGAAAGCCACGGCUAACUACGUG